rnacentral:lncRNA from 1 species
AUGCGGACAAUAGGGCCUGAGAAAGUCAGUGAGGUGGGGACCUCAGUGAUGAGUCUGGGACUGACAGACGUGUCCACAGGGAAGAGGCAAUUGAGACUUGGAUUGAAGCUCUUUAAACCCCCACCCCCACCCCUGCUGAGAUUCUGCUUCCAAGGUGAUAGGAGAAAACACCAGAGAGAUGAGGUCUCAGAGUCAGGGACAUCAGUCACAGAAAGAAAGAUGGAAAGUCGGAGGGCAGUGGGGGUCUGGGGACCUGGAGGCAUCACCUGCCUCAGUCACUGGCCCUGUCUUUGUGCCCUAGGUCUGAAACCCCAGAAGGACUCUGUCUCAGACUGGGCCAUUGUGUUGAUCACUCUCACUUUGGUGGCAGCAAUUGUCAACCUAAUGUAUGGUAUCAAGAAGGUAGAUUCCUGGGGUCACUGGCCCCCAGGUCUCUUCUACCCACAGCGUAAGGAGUCGUCCACUGUCAGUCACGAGAUUCUGCUCUCUGCUCUGCCGCCAACCAUGCAGACUGCGGGAAGGUGCCCAGCUUCUCCGAGGACAGUUUUCUCAUCGGUGGAAGGAAGGACCAGGGCUAAGUGGCCUGCAGGCACCUUCCAGCCCUCAAAGAGCCCAGGUCUGGACAGCUGGAAUCCCUGCUCCUCACCCUCUCUUCCUAGUCCCACCCUCCUCCCCGACGAUCAGAGAAGCUCUUUAGCUGAGGACAGUCUGCUCAUGGCUUCCCUUCUCACCUUCCUCCACAGGGAGCCCCCUCAGGCUGGCUCUUGAGCCCCCAGGGCCCUCCGAUUCUUUCCCCUCAGGGCAGGUGCAGAACCGUCCUCUGUGCUGCCCCCUCAGUCCUCUCCAGGAGGGUGGUGAACAAGUUACUGCUAAAUAAAAUGGCACUUCCUCCACUUGUCUUGCAGAUGCUGCGGGUUUGCCCAAAUGCAUGGGCUUUUGUGUCAUGCGGGCCCAGAAGGGCCAAGCCUGGUCUCUGCCACUUACAAGGGCAAGUCAUUCCCUGAUCUGAAGCUCAUUUAUCCUCAUCUGUAAAGUGAGGGGUGACAGGUGAUGACUCAUAGGUGAGGUGCUUAGUACAUUCUUCAGUACAUAGAAAUGCCCAAACAUUGGUAGUUGGCAGGGCUGUUUUGUGACUG